CCUAAGGAGAGGUCCUGGAGGUAUUAACACCGUUUCCUGGUUUAACUUCUGCUGUCUGAACUUUCAGAUUUCCUGGUCAAAAUGGGCUUGAAGCAAGAGCUAAUUCUUUUGCUCCGCAUAAGGAAUCACUGAAAUGGCUCCACUCUAUAAGGAAUUAGGUAAGCAGAGGGCUAGCACGGAAACAGCGAAGUAGUUAGUUAUCCAGGGGCUCGGUAGUAUCAUGCAGUAGGCUCAUUUCCCCAGAGAGACCUCAGAUUUAAGAUUAUAUUUCACCAUCUUUAUUUAUCCCUCUCCUUCCAAGAAUCUGAUCUGAAUUGGUAGACUUGAUUCCAGGGCCCCUCUCUCUCUCUCUCUCUCUCUCUCUCUCUCUCUCUCUCUCUCUCUCUCUUUCUGUGUGUGUGUAUGUGUGUGUAUGUGUGUGUGUGUGUGUGUGUGUGUGUCCUAACUACUUUGGAUCUAUAAUUUCAAAGAGAAGAUCUGUCACUAACGUUAAUCACUGCCAAUAGUAAUUACAGUGGUUGGGUUAUUAUUAAUAACAAGACGUUCUACAUACAGUAUUUGUGUUCAUGGUACCUAGUAGAUUUUAACUCAUUGGGAAAAUCUAUCAAACAUAUUGUCCUUUCUCUCUCUUGAUCAAUUAAUUCUGAUAUACAUUCAACUCCCACCACAGAAAUCCAUUCCUGGGACCUUGCUCCAGUGUUCAGAAUAUUCCUCCAGUAUUUUAUGUAGUUAGUUCACAAGUUCCUGCCUUGCUUAGGACAUCUCUGCAUCUAUCAUAAAUCCUUCCACCCACCAUCUGAUUCUUUCCAUUAAACAUAUGACAAGGCUCUAAUAUCAACAAAAAAGCAAGAAGCUCAAAGAAAAAGAAUGUUUCUGUUCUUGCCUCAUUCACUAAACAGGUCCCUUCUUUUAUCUCUCUAUGGCAUUUACUUACUAACCUGUGGAAGAGUCUCUAUUUGUACAUUUUCUCUUCAACCUACAAUUUGACAUCUUCAGACAUUGUUCCCUCCCAAUUGUGUAGAUUUUCUUUUUAAUGAAAGCUGGUCUUGGUAAAACCAAAUCAUCAGUAGUAUUCAAAUUGGUAAGCAUAUUUCAGACUUUUCUGCCAGUAUUUGGCAUUUGGAACUCUUCCCUGCAAAUAUCAGGGUCGUUAACAUUUCUGACAUCACUCUCAUUUAAGGGUUUUGUCUACCAUGUUGGUAUCUGGUUUGUGGGCUGUCUGUUAUUGGCUUAUUUGUUUUCAGGCUUGUUUUGUUUUGUUUCUGUAUAGCUGUGAUAUACAUUUGUACAUGCAUGUUUAUAUGUGUAAGUGCACAUGCAUGUGUGUGUGUAUAUGUAGAGAGACCCACAGUUAAGAUGAGGUAUCUUCUUCCAUUACUUUUCUAUUUAUUGAGAAAGGCACUUUUUCUAAGCCUGGAGUUUGCUGGUUGGAGUGCUGGGACUCUAAGUGGCAGUCAUACCUGACGGGCCUUUACCAUGGCUCUGAGAGCAUGCAUUAUAGUAUCUAUGCUUAUGGAGCAAGCACUUUAUCUACUAGCCAUCCAUUCUGCCCCAAUAUUUGCUUUUUAAGCCACUUAAAAUCUGAAAGCUAGUAUCCUAGUAAGAGACACCCUUGGAUUUUUUUUCUGUGCUUCAUGAAGAGGCAUGGUGUUUACACGUGCUUAGAUGUUGCUGUUGCCUAAGUCUUAGCUUCCAGGUUGGAUACCCUAAACAUCUACUAUCUUUUGCUCAUAGGUCUAAAUCUCACUAUAAUUACAUUUACCUCUAAUCUUUCCCCACAGGAACCACACCCUCAAACAACAUCAUAGAUUUUUGUGGUGAUCCCAUGUUCCUACCUCUUGUUUCAUCUUUUUCCAAGCUCACAAUAACAAAGUUAUGAAGAUUCUCUCUGCUUGGUAUCCCACUAAACACCUACUUCUCUCCAGUUCCCCUGCUUUGGUUCAGAAAUAUGUUGUGCUAACAUGAAAUAUUCCAAUUUUCUGUUUAGCACUACUUCUAUUAUUAGGGCAUCUAUUUAUAUUUUCUCCACAUUAUUUUAAAAGGAUUUUUUUACAUUUAUUUAUUCUAUGUGUAUUUUUGUUUUAUAUGUAUUUAUGUGUCUGUCUGCCUGUAUGUAUGUGUAACACAUCUGAGCCUGGUGCCGAGGAAGAUGCCCUGGAACUAGAGUCACGGGUAGUUGUAAGCCACAGUGUGGGUACUGAAAUACUAAUCUGUCCUCUGGCAGUCUAACAAGGGCUCAUAACUAUUGAGCAACUUCUCUUGCCCUUAAAAGGGAAGUUUUUAAAUAGGAUGAUGUUGUAAAACCUUCUGAUAUACCCUGAAUAGAAUAACAUAUCUUACUAUGUGUGAUAGACAAAAUAUUUUUGGGAGAAAGUUUGAAUGUUAUCUAAAUAAAACAAAAAUGAAGUUUCUCACAUGUUCUAAAGAUUUAUUCCUUUAAGUAAUUACAUCUACUUCUCUAAAACAAUCUAAAAUAAAUGUAAUUGAAGAAGUACUCUCUCAAAAUGACAAGUAACUUUUUUCAAUAUUCAAAUAAAGCAAAACAGAGACAAGAAAAUGAUGGAAGACAUGGCUUGCAUUCGAUGGGAGCAUGUCAGAGACCCCUUUAAUGAAAGGCAGGCACCAAGAGAAGAGAAGGGCAUGUGGGGAACAAAUGAGAGAGCCAUAGGAAGCUGGAUAUAUAAAACCUGCUGAUAUAUAUAUAUAUAUAAAACAAGCUGAGGGAAAAAUGGCAACUCACAAGGCAAGCAAUGGGAUGGACAGAGUAGCCAUAGUAUUAAUGAGUGACACAAAGAUUAUUUAAAAUUUUGCAUAAUUUAUGAAUAUUUGAACAUGCAGUAAUGAGAUGUAGGAGACUUUUAGUAAGGCAAGCUGAGGGAGAGAAGGCAGCACUGUAUGAUGCCGCCAUGAUGCCGCCACGAGUGCUUUCAUCCUACACUUGACUUGUUUAUAUCACGUUGAUUCCCUUCACUCUGCUUUUUGAGCAUGUGAUCUCUGUAUCCCCAGGUAUGCUGUGGUAGCUAGAGAAGCGCGCCUGUCACAGGUGAGCCAGACGGGGUCUUCGCUGUGGUUCGCAUACUCCCUAUUCUUCUUAGGAAUUCAAAUUAAACUUACUAAAUCCUUCAUGCCACAGUAGAUACAUGCAGUAGCAAGACAUCAUGAAGAUUCAGAGUCAUUGAGCAAUUAUCCUUGUGUCAGGAAGUCAGAAUAA